CCUACGGGUGGCAGCAGUGGGGGAUAUUGCACAAUGGGGGAAACCCUGAUGCAGCGACGCCGCGUGUGGGAAGACGGUCCCCUGGAUUGUAAACCACUGUCCCCAAGGCCGAAGAUGACGGUACCUGGGGCGGAAGCUCCUGCUAACUACGUGCCCGCAGCCGGGGUAGUACGUAGGGAGCGAGCGUUGUCCGGAAUUACUGGGUGUAAAGGGAGCGUAGGCGGGGAUGGAAGUUGUGUGUAAAAACUACCGGCUCAACUGGUAGUCGCACUCAAAACUGCAGAUCUUGAGGGAAGUAGAGGCAGGCGGAAUGCCUAGUGUAGCGGUGAAAUGCGUAGAUAUUAGGAGGAACACCAGUGGCGAAGGCGGCCUGCUGGGCUUUUACUGACGCUGAGGCUCGAAAGUGUGGGGAGCAAACAGGAUUAGAUACCCGAGUAGUC
rnacentral:rRNA from 1 species